GGGGAAUUUUGGACAAUGGGGGGAACCCUGAUCCAGCCAUGCCGCGUGUGUGAAGAAGGCCUUCGGGUUGUAAAGCACUUUCAGCGGGGAGGAAGGCGUUAAGGUUAAUAACCUUGGCGAUUGACGUUACCCGCAGAAGAAGCACCGGCUAACUCCGUGCCAGCAGCCGCGGUAAUACGGAGGGUGCAAGCGUUAAUCGGAAUUACUGGGCGUAAAGCGCACGCAGGCGGUCUGUCAAGUCGGAUGUGAAAUCCCCGGGCUCAACCUGGGAACUGCAUUCGAAACUGGCAGGCUAGAGUCUUGUAGAGGGGGGUAGAAUUCCAGGUGUAGCGGUGAAAUGCGUAGAGAUCUGGAGGAAUACCGGUGGCGAAGGCGGCCCCCUGGACAAAGACUGACGCUCAGGUGCGAAAGCGUGGGGAGCAAAC
rnacentral:rRNA from 1 species